rnacentral:rRNA from 1 species
CCAAUAGCGUAUAUUAAAGUUGUUGCAGUUAAAAAGCUCGUAGUUGAAUUUCGGGAUCAAUACGUCGGUCGUGCUUCGGUACGUACUAACGUUAUUGGUUUCUCCCUUCUAACAAAUCGUGAUGUCAUUAAUUUGGUGUUACGGGGAGUUAGGACUGUUACUUUGAAAAAAUUAGAGUGUUUAAAGCAGGCAAUCGCUCGAAUACAUUAGCAUGGAAUAAUGAAAUAGGACGUUCGAACCUAUUUUGUUGGUUUCUAGGAUCGACGUAAUGAUUAAUAGGGAUAGUUGGGGGCAUUAGUAUUCAAUUGUCAGAGGUGAAAUUCUUGGAUUUAUUGAAGACUAACUACUGCGAAAGCAUUUGCCAAGGAUGUUUUCAUUAAUCAAGAACGAAAGUUAGGGGAUCGAAGACGAUCAGAUACCGUCGUAGUCUUAACCAUAAACUAUGCCGACUAGGGAUCGGAUGAUGUUAAUUUUUUAAUGACUCA